UAAGGCACACGGUCAUGUCUUCUAGGAACAUGGUAGUGUCUCACUCCUCCUCAGAAACAGAAAUAUUUGCUUCUUAACACAUGGUCAUGCGUUAACCCGAUAUAAGGCAAACGACCAUGUCUUCCAAGAACAUGGCCAUGUCUCACUCCUACUCAGAAACAAAAACGUUGGCUCCUUAACACAUGGUCGUGUGUUAUGGCGAUAUCUCUCACAUCUUGUUCCAAUCCACUCUAAUUUACUUCCAAGUCCUAAAAAUCAUUCUUGAAAAGUGCCAAAGGCAAUCUAACAGUAUAUAUAACAAAAAUCAAUCAAAAUCAACUCAAAUAAAAUAGGAAAAUAUCUAUAAAAUUCAAUUAUAUCACUAUCAAAUAAAGGAAGAAUCAGAACGGGGGUGUU
rnacentral:lncRNA from 1 species